rnacentral:rRNA from 1 species
UACGUAGGGUGCGAGCGUCGUCCGGAAUUACUGGGCGUAAAGAGCUCGUAGGUGGUUUGUCGCGUUGUCCGUGAAAACUCACAACUCAAUUGUGGGCGUGCGGGCGAUACGGGCAGACUGGAGUACUGCAGGGGAGACUGGAAUUCCUGGUGUAGCGGUGGAAUGCGCAGAUAUCAGGAGGAACACCGGUGGCGAAGGCGGGUCUCUGGGCCGGUACUGACGCUGAGGAGCGAAAGCGUGGGGAGCGAACAGG